rnacentral:rRNA from 1 species
CCUGAACGCUGGCGGCGUGGCUAAGACAUGCAAGUCGAACGGGACCCGCAAGGGUUCAGUGGCGGACGGGUGAGUAAUGUAUCGCUAAUGUGCCCCGGAAUCCGGGAUAGCUAGCCGAAAGGCUAGGUAAUACCGGAUGAUAUACCUUGAAGGCAUCUUCGAGGUCUCAAAGGAGUAAUCCGGUCUGGGAGCAGGCGAUAUCGUAUCAGCUAGUUGGUGAGGAACGGCUCACCAAGGCGACGACGCGUAGCCGGGCUGAGAGGUUGGCCGGCCACAUUGGGACUGAGACACUGCCCAGACUCCGUACGGGGGC